GAAGGAGAAGUCGUAACAAGGUUUCCGUAGGUGAACCUGCAAGGACCAUCUUA
rnacentral:rRNA from 1 species